UAUGUCGUGGGUCACAAUGAUGACUUUUUCUGUCGGGACUCACCCCACUUGCUCCCCACCAGGACGGGACAGGCGGCGUGUUGGGUCCGAUAGUCUCCCUCUCCGCUGAGGAGAAGAUUGUACCAGAACACUGCCGACCCCUGCGCACAACACAACGCACGCAACACACUUCACUUCAUUAGAGCAAACCUUUAUGGGCCACGCAAUGGCGCCCACUUUGGAGAAGACGGUGGCGCCCCCUGCCUGCACGUCACUCAUCUGCAGCACAAAACGUGAUGCGGUCAAAAAGCCGAGCAAAGCUUUUUCUUGACGAAAAGCGACUGAAGUAAAGUGUGCUGUACUGACGUAAAGCAGCCAGGUGGCGAUUCGGUUUCCUGUGCCAAAAUAUGUGUACGGUUCAAGAACAAAGUCCUGUGAAAACACAACAAAGUUCAAUUAGGGCUGGGCGAUUAAUUCAUUGAAAGGUCCCGCAUUUUGGCUAUUUCCACCUCCAUAGAGUGCCUCUCUAACAUGGACUUAAUAUAAAAGUGUCAAUUUCUUUUGAAAAAAAACCCUUGGUUUUGUCAUAGGAGUGUCCAGAAAUUUAAGCCACUUUUGUAUCCGCUUUGUCCAUAUUUUGCUAAGACCGCCCCCUUCCCGCUGAUCGGUUGCCUCCGUGUUUGUUAUUUCGACAGCGCUGGCUCGGGAGCGGAGAGGUAGGCGGAGAUCUUCGCCAGUGACGUCGAAAAGCUCAAGAAAUUCCAUCCAUCCAUUGUCUGAACCGCUUCUCCUCACGCGGGUCGCGGGCGUGCUGGAGCCUAUCCCAACUAUCAUACACCCUGAACUGGUUGCCAGCCAAUCGCAGGGCACAUACAAACAAACACCAUUCGCGCUGCUGACACGCAAUGAUGACGCUGAAGUUUCCUUCGUCAUUUGGAAUCGGUUCGGGUUUGCGGCGUCAGACGACGAGCAGCAACCAGUCCGCUGCCAAGCCUGUGAUGUCCUCCAGCCUCUUGGCCAGCUUGUCCAUCACCGCGUGAUCGUGGCCGUCCAGCCAGGCGCUGAGGAGGAAGAAGAGGUGUCACUGAACUGCUGUUUCGACAAGUGAUGCUAAAGAGCAGAAGAGAUGUGACCGUCACCUUCAAAACAAACAAAUUCCUGUUCACCGUGAGAGACGUCGGUGAGCACCAGGCUCUCCAGCUCGCUCCGCUUUCUGUCGAUCCGGUUCAGAAGUUUAAAGGCGUUCACGGGAUGGCCCAGGAAUCCUUCGGGGUCCUCGAGGGCAAACGCCGAGAGGUCAGCCAGCUUCUGAGCCCACCUGAGUACACGCGCAGAC